CCGACUUUAGCUCAGUUGGAAGAGCAUCAGACUGUAACUGGAUACCACAUACCGUAAUGAGGGAAUAUCUGAGGGUCGUCUGUUCGAACCAGACAAGUCGGA